rnacentral:lncRNA from 1 species
CAUUCUAGGUGUGACAGAGGAUCGGUAACAUGCAGAAUGGGCUCCUGUGUACCAGCAGCUAUUUCCCAUUCCUCAGUUUCUCUGUCUGGAGAACACAAGGACAUUCUUCAUGGCCGGUGGCUCUUCGAGGCAUUUGCCCUGUUUGGUGUUCAUGACUUUGGAAAGGGCACCGUAAACAGAGAUUCAGGAACACUGAUGCUGGAUGCUGUCCAUGAUGCCAUAACUACUUUUAGAUGCCCUGUCUCCCUAGACUCCUGUUGCCUGUGACAGUUCAUCUGACUUUUCCAGGUAAAUUGAAAAGGGAUUUGAUAGAGUAUCCCAGUGUGCAUCCUUUAAAUCUUUGAUAGUGGCACUAAACCCUGCAAAUCUUCCAGGGUAUUCUUCUGCUCUGGAUUUAUUAUCCUGAUCAAGGAUUGGGGGAAACUUAAGAGAUUUCCACUUGGGCCUUCCUGUCAUAUGGUACAUGCUUGUUUUAAGUCAAGUCCUUAGAAAACUUGUUUCUACCCUGACUUCAGCUGAUCCAUAGCCAAACAUAUUCUCACUUUGUUUUUCCUACUUAUGAAAUGGAUUAGAAAAUUGUCGCUGCUCUAACAUUUCUGGAAACAUAGAAACUGAACUUAUAUAUUUAAUCAGGUAAGAUAAAACUGUAAAAUAGAAAGACAUUAAUUUCUUUCAAAACUUGUUCUUCAUUUUUUUUCCUACCCUAGGUUAUCACCUAGAAGUAUAAAUCUUUCAAAAAGAAUAAGCUAAUGAUGCACACAAAAUAAUGUGAUUACACCAGCUAUUAACAAACUCUUAGUGCAUGUGAUAAACUAAAGUUUCCAUAAAAAAGGAUAUUCAGGGUUCUAAUUUUGGGCAAAAACAUGUUGAAUCAACUUAAAUUGGUUUGUUUACCUCAGAAAAUUCCAUACUAUUUAAUAUAAGAAUCUAAUAUAAUUGUUGAUGUAUAUGCGUGUGUGUCUAAGUUGGACAUUUGUUAGGCAAAAUAUUUUUAAAUUUCUUGAUAAAACUUGUUUUAGUUUUAAUUCUCAAACCUUCCUUUAUAAUCAUUGAAGUAGAAAAAAAUAUUUUGGAAUUUGGUGCCUGUUUUUCAGUACGCUCAUUUAAUUAGGUCGCAAAAUGAAUACUAGCACUUCUGAACAGUGCUGAGAAAUUGCUUUAAAUGUUUCCAUUGCAUUCUAAUAUUCUACAUAUAUUGGGACCUAGCUAGCUUUGUUGUGAUUAAUUUAGCCAACAAAUAUUGUCUUAUAUUUGACAAUUGUUUUUACCAGUUUAUUCAUUAGAGCUAUUUUUUAAUCAGGAGUCACUGAAAUCAGCAGCUCUGAUGGAUGUUACAAGCUUAACAAUGAUUCUCUCCAUAUUACUGACCCCAAAUGUUUAGAGUAAUUAAAUUUACAAAUAAGAACAUUUAUUAUAUUUAAUAAUAGAUGAUAGAUGUUUAGUAAGUUUACUAUGAAUCACAUUACUUAGCCCAAGGAAUGUUAAGCAUAAGUUUAACGUACCAUCAUUAGGUUAUUAUAAAUGAUUAUUGAUGUUCUAUUUAUUGUUAUUAUUAACAUUGGUAAUUAUGUUAAGAAGCCCUCCUUGACAAUCUAAUAAGUAGUUAUGUUAGUUAGAAUAGAAAGUGAGACCAAUUUAACAUUCCCUCCCUCAAAAUGAAUAAUUAUAUGAGUAAGUGACUAAAAUAGUAUUUUAUCAUACAUAUAAAAUGUAGCAUUUGAUUUAAAGGUGUUUACACCUUCUGAAGACCAACGUUUGAGCUCAAGUUCAUGUUGAAAAUGUAUCAGAAAUAUGUCUUAGACAAAUGAAAAUAAGAUUCUUUGGAAAUGAAAUAGACAAAUAUUAGGAUUCCAUAUAGUAUAUAUACCUCUUUGGAGUUCCCUGGUGGAACAGUUUGUUAAAGAUUCAGCUUUGUCAUUGCUGUAGCUCAGACUGCUGCUGUGACAUGGGUUUGAUCCCUGGCCUGGGAACUGCUGAAUGCCCCAGGUGCAGCCAAAAAAUAUAUCCAUUCAAAAUGAAUUAUUAAAUAAAUGUUCUGGAAUAUAUUUUUUUAUUUCCCCAAUACAUUUAUUUUUUUUUUCUGCUGUACAGCAUGGUGACCCAGUUACACAUGCAUGUAUACAUUCUUGUUUCUCACAUUAUCAUGCUCCAUCAUUAGUAACCAGACAUAGUUCCCCGUGCUACACAACAGGAUCUCAUUGCUAAUCCAUUCCAAAGGCAAUAGUCUGCAUCUAUUAACCCCAAGCUUCCCAUCCAUCCCUCUCCCUCUCCUCCUCCUCCCCCUUGGCAACCACAAGUCUGUUCUCCAAGUCCACGAUUUUCUUUUCUGUGGAAAGGUUCAUUUUGCUAAGGUGUACCUUUAAAUUGUGAUUUCAAUUAUGCAUUAAGCAUUUCUCUCCUAGGCUUAUAACAAUGAUUACAAAGUAACAUCCAUGAAUUUCCUAUGAAUUAUUUAACCAAUAACUAUUUUUAAAAGGGGCUCUUAGUUCAUUUCAACACAAAGAUACCUAUUCUUACCUCUGUGCCUUUUUUUCUCUCUUAGUUUUGUGUUCCUAAGUGUCAAAAUUAGAAGUAUUACAAUACAAAUAGUGGUAUGAUAUAAUAAUCAGAUAAGCUGCAGGUAAAUUUCUGUAUCACCCCAAGUUGCCAGGUGUAAAGUAGACCUGGAUUUAUGAAAGACUAAAUAUAUGUGUCACAAUUUUGAAUCAAAAGUAUUCACUCAUAUUACUUAGAAUGAAGCAAAAUUCAACAUGGUGUUAAAAUAAACAUCUGACCUUAAAAAAUUCCAGAGGCAAAGGAAAGACAAUGUACAUAGGUUACAUGAAUAGAAGAAAAAGAACACUACCAGUAACUAUGAAAUAGGAACCACACCAGUGUAGCAUGUUUUUGCAUAUCAGAUCCGCAAAUGUGAAAAAAAAACCUCAACACUUACUGAAAUUUUGUGGGGAGAGGCAUAUUGUAUGAACUACUAAUACAGCAGAAUUUUCAAAACCUUGCAUAAUGGUAUACUCCCUGACGCAGCAACCACAUGCCUUUCUGUGUACCUCUGAGAACCACUGGCCUGUAGCUCAUUGAUCACUGCUAUAAUACUUGUAAAAGAAAACUGUUGGAAACAAUAAAAAAUGUUCAUUAAUGCAGAUAAUUUUAAAUAAAUUAUGACAUUCAUAAUAUACAAUGAUUUUUAAUCAGUAAAAAAUGAGACUUGACAAGGCUUGAUCUCUAAAAUACAUUGUAAAAUAAAAAAUGAAUGCAGCAGGGCAAUAGAUACAGGAGAUCUACACUUCAUGAAAAAAUAGACAUAAAAUAAUCACCUACAUAUAUGUGUAGUUAAUAUUAAUCUUAGCCACACAGGACAAGCAUACUGAGUAUCUCUCUUUAUAUGGAGUUGUUCACUUCAAAUGAUUGUGCAAUACGUUUCAUCUUGAUAAGACACAAACUCAGUCAUUUCUGUGAUUAUGAACCCAGGAUCAGGAGACUACUCAGCUACUGUUUCUGUAACCUGUGGACUUUAAUUCGUCUUUUAGUACUACAGUUUCUCAUUUAUAGUAUAAAUAAAAUAAGUUGUGGGGUUUCUAUACUAUUUAAUGAUGCGCUUUAAAAGUUUUGAGUAUAUAAUAAUUGUUCAAAUGUAUUGCUUUGGUCACUAUAACUGUUAUUGGCUUUUUAAAUAUUAAUAUUUUAGGACUUUCUCCUUUCAUUCUGUCUAAACAAUAGUGUGUACUUAAGCUUUCUGGUCAUGCAGAAAGGAAGGUAAAGAAUCUGGUUCCUCCUGAGAUGCUCGCUGGCUAAGACUACAUACUUCUUCGAAGCCCAGUAAUUCUUUUACUUCCAUUGCAUGUGUCAUGGGUCCACCAUCCUUGAGACGUGUGAGAGCCCACUUCCUAAGUUUCAGUCUCUCUAGAAAAUCUAGUGAUGUCAUUUCCUGCAGGGCAGUGCUUCUCUCCAGCUGUACUGUCACAGAUGGUGCCACAACCCAUAGCUUUUCUAUGGAUCAAUGGCUUUAGUACUUGGAAGCUACAGUUUGAAGUAAUAGGCACCGUUUCACAAGAUUUGCAAUUUUCUUGUAUAUAUUGUAGUGUCCCCUACUGAUGACAUGUACACUUCCUAUUUUCUAAAAAAAAUCUACUUUCACAUACUAAAAACAAGUAAACAUGAAACUAGUGAUUUUCUCCCCAAAUUGCAUAUAUCUAUAGGCCCACCUAAUUUAUUGCAAUGUAUGUGCCCUAGAAAUACAGACAGAACAAAAAUAUAUACUCAACUACCUUGAUUUCAUAACAAUAGUGACACCUGAGGAGACGGGAAUGGCAAAGGUCAAGAAAGAAGGCAACUUUAUGGUGUUUAAAUGUUUCGCAGAAGGUUUCUAAGUAUCAAAUUAUGUACAUAAACAUCUAUCACCAAAUAUUUGAUUAACCUCAUAUUUAAUAGAGAUAUAAUGAAGUCUUACUGUUUCUUUUGAGGUUUAUCCAGAAUUAAAUUGUACCUCUGUAGAAGUAGCAUUUUAAAACUGCUAGUUAAAAAAUUUAACUGAAAAAAUUGUUAGUGAAUUAUACGACUAAAUUGUACCUGCCAUAUUAUAAAAUUUG